AUGACCAAAUUUGAAAAGGAAAUUAAGUGCAUAGCAUUGAUUUUGACAUAAUAAAACCCAUAACAAUUAUGUCAACUUCUAUCCGGUAAUACCUUUUUUUGUUCAAGUUACCAGUAAUAGAGAGAGAAACUGAUGACAUCAACAAUUUGACACCCCCAUAAUUAAUUAUCACACGUAAUUCAAUCAACACCACACUUUUUUUUAACACAUAAAUAUACAUCUAAUUUUUCUAUACCAUAUUACUAAAAAUAAUAGGAUUCAAAAUCCACUCACACCUAGUAAAUACUAAACUUUAAUCCAAACCUCAACUCCAAAAUAAUAAACCCUAAACUUUAAACAUCACCCUUCCAUCUAAAUACUAAACUCUAAACCCUAAUUACUGAACCCUAAACCCAAAUAUAAACCUUAAACCCAAUUAUCAAAAUCUGAAAAUAGUAUAUAAUAUUAUGUAAUAUUAAACUAAAUCCAAACAAAACUCCUCAAUGCUAAAUUCAGACCUAACUUUUGAAUACUAAACCCAAAAAUGCUAUCACUAAACCCAAACCUAAACUCCCACCUUCCAAAUACUAAACCCUAAAUCCUAAUCACUAAACCCUAAACCCAAGUAUAGACUAUAAACCCAAAUAGAAUGGAACAAAAUACAUAGUAUAGUAUAAAUUGGUAUAAAAAAAAAACACUCUUUUUUAAUCGUCAAAUGGAACAUACAUAAUACGGUCACUAAACCCAAACAUCAACCCCCACCUUCCAAAUACUAAACCCUAAAUCUUAAUCAUUAAACCUAAACCCAAGUAUAAACUCUAAACCCAAAUAGUAUAGAACAAAAUAAAUAGUAUAGUACAUAUAGUUGUAAACAAGAAAUUGAUAAAUAAUGAAUUUAUCAAACAAUCGAUGGUACAAUAAUACAACAACCGUAGCAUACUAUUUAGUUUGGUACUUGCGAAUUGUACAAAAAUAUAAGAAUCGUACUAUACUAUAAUUUUCUU
rnacentral:lncRNA from 1 species